rnacentral:rRNA from 1 species
GCGGCAGGCCUAACACAUGCAAGUCGAGCGGUAGAGAGGUGCUUGCACCUCUUGAGAGCGGCGGACGGGUGAGUAAUGCCUAGGAAUCUGCCUGGUAGUGGGGGAUAACGCUCGGAAACGGACGCUAAUACCGCAUACGUCCUACGGGAGAAAGCAGGGGACCUUCGGGCCUUGCGCUAUCAGAUGAGCCUAGGUCGGAUUAGCUAGUUGGUGGGGUAAUGGCUCACCAAGGCGACGAUCCGUAACUGGUCUGAGAGGAUGAUCAGUCACACUGGAACUGAGACACGGUCCAGACUCCUACGGGAGGCAGCAGUGGGGAAUAUUGGACAAUGGGCGAAAGCCUGAUCCAGCCAUGCCGCGUGUGUGAAGAAGGUCUUCGGAUUGUAAAGCACUUUAAGUUGGGAGGAAGGGCAUUAACCUAAUACGUUAGUGUUUUGACGUUACCGACAGAAUAAGCACCGGCUAACUCUGUGCCAGCAGCCGCGGUAAUACAGAGGGUGCAAGCGUUAAUCGGAAUUACUGGGCGUAAAGCGCGCGUAGGUGGUUUGUUAAGUUGGAUGUGAAAGCCCCGGGCUCAACCUGGGAACUGCAUUCAAAACUGACAAGCUAGAGUAUGGUAGAGGGUGGUGGAAUUUCCUGUGUAGCGGUGAAAUGCGUAGAUAUAGGAAGGAACACCAGUGGCGAAGGCGACCACCUGGACUGAUACUG